CAGCCACCAGCCACCAGCCACCGAUUCCAAACCUCUCUCUCAACCAGCACAUCACCUUCACCUCCUACUUCACGAGUUUCCCUUUCCAGAAACCCAUUCUAUCUUUUCUUCCUCCUUCAAACUUCUUUCUACCACAACUUUCAUUCUACAACUCCAAUUCUUGCGCCGUUCCCGCCAUUUGGAUCGUAGGAACGAUCUCUACAAGAAAGUGUGGUUUGGGAGAAUGGUGGUCGCUGGACAGCUCAUUGAAGGUUGAGGAUUACUUUGGAGCUGUUAAGGUGAAGAAUCUACCUUGGGCUGAACCUACAGAGAACUCAGAGUAAUUUUUGGGUUGAAGUGGAAGUUGGGGAUUUCUGACUGUCUUGGAGCUCUACUGGGAAAGAACAAGUUGCAGAGAAAGAAGGAGUUUAUAGGGAUUUAUGUAGAUAUUAUGAGUUCAUCCACACCUAGCACCAUAGCUCCAACUACUUUUCAAUGUUAGGAGGAAUUUAAUUUGGGUUGUAAUGUAUAUUUGGUUGAAUUUGGGUUGUAUUUGGCUAGUAAUUUAUUUUGUUGAAGUUUGAUUUAAUUUGGGUUGUAAUUUAUAUGUUGAAGUUGGAUUGAAUUUGGAUUGUAUUUUUGUUGAAGUUGGAUUCAU